AUGUGGCUCAGUGGUAGAGUGCUUGCUUAGCAUGCAUGAAGCCCUGGGUUCGAUUCCUCAGUGCACAUA
rnacentral:tRNA from 1 species